rnacentral:rRNA from 1 species
UACGUAGGUGGCAAGCGUUAUCCGGAUUUAUUGGGCGUAAAGCGAGCGCAGGCGGUUGCUUAGGUCUGAUGUGAAAGCCUUCGGCUUAACCGAAGAAGUGCAUCGGAAACCGGGCGACUUGAGUGCAGAAGAGGACAGUGGAACUCCAUGUGUAGCGGUGGAAUGCGUAGAUAUAUGGAAGAACACCAGUGGCGAAGGCAGCUUACCAGACUGUUACUGACGCUGAAGCACGAGAGCGUGGGUAGCGAACAGG